rnacentral:circRNA from 1 species
GAUAUGAAAGAUGGCAAGUCCAGAUAGAAGUAAACGGAAGAUAUUAAAAGCCAAAAAGACAAUGCCCCUAAGUUGCCGGAAGCAAGUAGAGAUGCUGAAUAAGUCAAGGAAUGUUGAAGCGCUGAAAACAGCAAUUGGGAGUAAUGUUCCAAGCGGUAAUCAGAGUUUCAGUCCUAGUGUCAUAACUAGGACGACUGAAAUAACCAAAUGUAGCCCUUCUGAAAAUGGUGCAUCCUCAUUGGACUCUAAUAAAAAUUCAAUAUCAGAGAAAAGUAAAGUAUUCUCUCAGAAUUGCAUAAAACCAGUAGAAGAAAUUGUUCAUUCAGAAACAAAAUUGGAACAAGUUGUUUGUUCGUACCAAAAGCCAAGUAGAACAACAGAAUCCCCCAGCAGAGUCUUCACAGAAGAGGCAAAAGAUUCACUGAACACUUCUGAAAACGAUUCUGAGCAUCAGACAAAUGUAACAAGAUCCCUUUUUGAGCAUGAGGGGGCUUGUAGUCUAAAGUCCAGUUGCUGUCCACCCAGUGUAUUGAGUGGUGUUGUUCAGAUGCCAGAGUCUACAGUAACCAGUACCGUGGGUGACAAGAAAACUGACCAGAUGGUUUUCCAUUUAGAAACAAACUCCAAUUCAGAAUCACAUGAUAAAAGGCAAAGUGACAACAUUUUAUGUUCAGAAGACUCAGGUUUUGUGCCUGUUGAGAAAACACCUAAUUUGGUGAAUUCAGUCACUUCUAACAACUGUGCUGAUGACAUUUUGAAAACUGAUGAGUGUAGUAGAACCAGUAUUUCAAAUUGUGAAAGUGCAGACUCAACAUGGCAGUCAUCACUUGACACUAAUAACAACA